rnacentral:piRNA from 1 species
UGCUUCAGAAUGUCUGUGAACUCGC